UCCAGCAGCCAUAUCACAAUGCAACUCACAACUGGCAACCCACUGAAGCUAAGCAGGUGUGAGCCUGGUCAGUACCUGGAUGGGAGACCUCCUGGGAAAAACUAAGGUUGCUGCUGGAA
ensembl:rRNA 5S_rRNA 5S ribosomal RNA